rnacentral:rRNA from 1 species
UAGGGAAUUUUCGUCAAUGGGCGCAAGCCUGAACGAGCGAUGCCGCGUGAGUGAAGAAGGCCUUCGGUCGGUAAAGCUCUGUUGCGGGGGAAAAAAGGACAGCAUCAGGAAAUGGGUGCUGACUGAUGGUGCCCCGCCAG